rnacentral:tRNA from 1 species
GCCAUCAUCGUCUAGCCUGGUCCAGGACACCGCCCUCUCACGGCGGGAACUCGGGUUCGAAUCCCGAUGGUGGUA